rnacentral:rRNA from 1 species
CCUACGGGAGGCUGCAGUGGGGAAUAUUGCGCAAUGGGCGAAAGCCUGACGCAGCGACGCCGCGUGAGGGAUGAAGGUCUUCGGAUCGUAAACCUCUGUCAGCAGGGAAGAACGGUCACUGUGCUAAUCAGCAGUGAAUUGACGGUACCUGCAAAGGAAGCACCGGCUAACUCCGUGCCAGCAGCCGCGGUAAUACGUAGGGGGCAAGCGUUAUCCGGAUUUACUGGGUGUAAAGGGAGCGUAGACGGCAGUGCAAGUCUGGAGUGAAAGGCGGGGGCUCAACCCCCGGACUGCUCUGGAAACUGUACGGCUGGAGUGCAGGAGAGGUAAGUGGAAUUCCUAGUGUAGCGGUGAAAUGCGUAGAUAUCACGCAGAACUCCGAUUGCGAAGGCAGCAUACCGGCGCCCAACUGACGCUGAAGCACGAAAGCGUGGGUAUCGAACAGGAUUAGAUACCCGAGUAGUC